rnacentral:rRNA from 1 species
AGAGUUUGAUCAUGGCUCAGAACGAACGCUGGCGGCAGGCUUAACACAUGCAAGUCGAGCGCCCCGCAAGGGGGGCGGCAGACGGGUGAGUAACGCGUGGGAAUCUACCCUUUUCUACGGAAUAACGCAGGGAAACUUGUGCUAAUACCGUAUGUGUCCUUCGGGAGAAAGAUUUAUCGGGAAAGGAUGAGCCCGCGUUGGAUUAGCUAGUUGGUGGGGUAAAGGCCUACCAAGGCGACGAUCCAUAGCUGGUCUGAGAGGAUGAUCAGCCACAUUGGGACUGAGACACGGCCCAAACUCCUACGGGAGGCAGCAGUGGGGAAUAUUGGACAAUGGGCGCAAGCCUGAUCCAGCCAUGCCGCGUGAGUGAUGAAGGCCCUAGGGUUGUAAAGCUCUUUCACCGGAGAAGAUAAUGACGGUAUCCGGAGAAGAAGCCCCGGCUAACUUCGUGCCAGCAGCCGCGGUAAUACGAAGGGGGCUAGCGUUGUUCGGAUUUACUGGGCGUAAAGCGCACGUAGGCGGAUCGAUCAGUCAGGGGUGAAAUCCCAGGGCUCAACCCUGGAACUGCCUUUGAUACUGUCGAUCUGGAGUAUGGAAGAGGUGAGUGGAAUUCCGAGUGUAGAGGUGAAAUUCGUAGAUAUUCGGAGGAACACCAGUGGCGAAGGCGGCUCACUGGUCCAUUACUGACGCUGAGGUGCGAAAGCGUGGGGAGCAAACAGGAUUAGAUACCCUAGUAGUCC